GACAUCAUCCACGAUCACAGAGACAUGGUCCAUGAUCGGAGAGACAUUGUUGAGGAUGAGGGAGACAUCGUCCACGAUCAGAGACAUUGUCUGUGAUUGCAGAGACCUUGUCAAAGAUGAGAGAGACGUUGUCCAUGAUCAGAGACAUUGUCACUGCUUCGCAGAGCUCUGUACAAGAAUCGGUAGAGACACUGUGGUUCCUCGAUUCGACGGCAUGACCGCGAUCAGCUGGCAUUGUUAAUGGUCACAGAGAAACAGUCUAUCAUCUUAGAGACAUUGUCCACAAUCACAGACACACUGUCAAUGAUCGCAGAGACUUUGUCCAUAAUCUCAGAGACAUUGUCCGCGAUCACAGAGACGUAGUCCACGAUCACAGAGUGUCUUCAUACAACGAAGAAGUUCUGUGAGACCAGGACAGAGGCCUCCAGGUGUAACCACUUCGUCCACGAUUGUAGAGACAUGGUCCAUGAUCGGAGAGACAUUGUUGAGGAUGAGGGAGACAUCGUCCACGAUCGGAGACAUUGUCCAUGACUCGUGGUGACUCGGUCCCCGAUUAGUCGGCAUUGCCGGCGUUCAGAGACAUUGUCGAUGAUCACAGAGACUUUGUCCAUAAUCUCAGAGACAUUGUCCGCGAUCACAGAGACGUAGUCCACGAUCACCGAGACAUCAUCCACGAUCACAGAGACAUGGUCCAUGAUCGGAGAGACAUUGUUGAGGAUGAGGGAGACAUCGUCCACGAUCGGAGACAUUGUCCAUGACUCGUGGUGACUCGGUCCCCGAUUAGUCGGCAUUGCCGGCGUUCAGAGACAUUGUCGAUGAUCACAGAGACUUUGUCCAUAAUCUCAGAGACAUUGUCCGCGAUCACAGAGACGUAGUCCACGAUCACCGAGACAUCAUCCACGAUCACAGAGACAUGGUCCAUGAUCGGAGAGACAUUGUUGAGGAUGAGGGAGACAUCGUCCACGAUCAGAGACAUUGUCUGUGAUUGCAGAGACCUUGUCAAAGAUGAGAGAGACGUUGUCCAUGAUCAGAGACAUUGUCACUGCUUCGCAGAGCUCUGUACAAGAAUCGGUAGAGACACUGUGGUUCCUCGAUUCGACGGCAUGACCGCGAUCAGCUGGCAUUGUUAAUGGUCACAGAGAAACAGUCUAUCAUCUUAGAGACAUUGUCCACAAUCACAGACACACUGUCAAUGAUCGCAGAGACUUUGUCCAUAAUCUCAGAGACAUUGUCCGCGAUCACAGAGACGUAGUCCACGAUCACAGAGUGUCUUCAUACAACGAAGAAGUUCUGUGAGACCAGGACAGAGCCCUCCAGGUGUAACCACUUCGUCCACGAUUGUAGAGACAUGGUCCAUGAUCGGAGAGACAUUGUUGAGGAUGAGGGAGACAUCGUCCACGAUCGGAGACAUUGUCCAUGACUCGUGGUGACUCGGUCCCCGAUUAGUCGGCAUUGCCGGCGUUCAGAGACAUUGUCGAUGAUCACAGAGACUUUGUCUAUAAUCUCAGAGACAUUGUCCGCGAUCACAGAGACGUAGUCCACGAUCACCGAGACAUCAUCCACGAUCACAGAGACAUGGUCCAUGAUCGGAGAGACAUUGUUGAGGAUGAGGGAGACAUCGUCCACGAUCAGAGACAUUGUCUGUGAUUGCAGAGACCUUGUCAAAGAUGAGAGAGACGUUGUCCAUGAUCAGAGACAUUGUCACUGCUUCGCAGAGCUCUGUACAAGAAUCGGUAGAGACACUGUGGUUCCUCGAUUCGACGGCAUGACCGCGAUCAGCUGGCAUUGUUAAUGGUCACAGAGAAACAGUCUAUCAUCUUAGAGACAUUGUCCACAAUCACAGACACACUGUCAAUGAUCACAGAGACUUUGUCCAUAAUCUCAGAGACAUUGUCCGCGAUCACAGAGACGUAGUCCACGAUCACAGAGUGUCUUCAUACAACGAAGAAGUUCGGUGAGACCAGGACAGAGGCCUCCAGGUGUAACCACUUCGUCCACGAUUGUAGAGACAUGGUCCAUGAUCGGAGAGACAUUGUUGAGGAUGAGGGAGACAUCGUCCACGAUCGGAGACAUUGUCCAUGACUCGUGGUGACUCGGUCCCCGAUUAGUCGGCAUUGCCGGCGUUCAGAGACAUUGUCGAUGAUCACAGAGACUUUGUCCAUAAUCUCAGAGACAUUGUCCGCGAUCACAGAGACGUAGUCCACGAUCACCGAGACAUCAUCCACGAUCACAGAGACAUGGUCCAUGAUCGGAGAGACAUUGUUGAGGAUGAGGGAGACAUCGUCCACGAUCGGAGACAUUGUCCAUGACUCGUGGUGACUCGGUCCCCGAUUAGUCGGCAUUGCCGGCGUUCAGAGACAUUGUCGAUGAUCACAGAGACUUUGUCUAUAAUCUCAGAGACAUUGUCCGCGAUCACAGAGACGUAGUCCACGAUCACCGAGACAUCAUCCACGAUCACAGAGACAUGGUCCAUGAUCGGAGAGACAUUGUUGAGGAUGAGGGAGACAUCGUCCACGAUCAGAGACAUUGUCUGUGAUUGCAGAGACCUUGUCAAAGAUGAGAGAGACGUUGUCCAUGAUCAGAGACAUUGUCACUGCUUCGCAGAGCUCUGUACAAGAAUCGGUAGAGACACUGUGGUUCCUCGAUUCGACGGCAUGACCGCGAUCAGCUGGCAUUGUUAAUGGUCACAGAGAAACAGUCUAUCAUCUUAGAGACAUUGUCCACAAUCACAGACACACUGUCAAUGAUCACAGAGACUUUGUCCAUAAUCUCAGAGACAUUGUCCGCGAUCACAGAGACGUAGUCCACGAUCACAGAGUGUCUUCAUACAACGAAGAAGUUCGGUGAGACCAGGACAGAGCCCUCCAGGUGUAACCACUUCGUCCACGAUUGUAGAGACAUGGUCCAUGAUCGGAGAGACAUUGUUGAGGAUGAGGGAGACAUCGUCCACGAUCGGAGACAUUGUCCAUGACUCGUGGUGACUCGGUCCCCGAUUAGUCGGCAUUGCCGGCGUUCAGAGACAUUGUCGAUGAUCACAGAGACUUUGUCUAUAAUCUCAGAGACAUUGUCCGCGAUCACAGAGACGUAGUCCACGAUCACCGAGACAUCAUCCACGAUCACAGAGACAUGGUCCAUGAUCGGAGAGACAUUGUUGAGGAUGAGGGAGACAUCGUCCACGAUCAGAGACAUUGUCUGUGAUUGCAGAGACCUUGUCAAAGAUGAGAGAGACGUUGUCCAUGAUCAGAGACAUUGUCACUGCUUCGCAGAGCUCUGUACAAGAAUCGGUAGAGACACUGUGGUUCCUCGAUUCGACGGCAUGACCGCGAUCAGCUGGCAUUGUUAAUGGUCACAGAGAAACAGUCUAUCAUCUUAGAGACAUUGUCCACAAUCACAGACACACUGUCAAUGAUCACAGAGACUUUGUCCAUAAUCUCAGAGACAUUGUCCGCGAUCACAGAGACGUAGUCCACGAUCACAGAGUGUCUUCAUACAACGAAGAAGUUCGGUGAGACCAGGACAGAGGCCUCCAGGUGUAACCACUUCAUCCACAACAUCG